CUUGAGGCCAUUCUUUUCCAAUCAAGCAAAUGUAGAGAUAAAGAAAAUGUAACUACAAGGUCGGGCCUGGUUAGUACUUGGCUGGGAGACUGCCUGGGAAUACCAGGUGCUGUCGGGU
rnacentral:rRNA from 1 species